CCUCCACACACAAUGUGGUCAGAAUAUAAAAACUUAUUUAUUGGUUAAAAGAACAAUGCGUUUCGCCUCACAGGCUUCAUCAGGCUUGAUGAAGCCUUGAUGAUGCCUUGUUGUUCUUUUAACCAAUAAAUAAGUUUACAUUCUGACCAUGUUGUUUGUGGAGG